ensembl:snRNA U6 U6 spliceosomal RNA
AUGCUCACUUCAGCAGCACAUAUACUAAAAACUGGAACAAUACAGAGAAGAUUAGCAUGCCCCUUGUGCAAGGAUGACACACAAAUUCGUUACAUGUUCCAAUUUUAA